ensembl:snRNA U6 U6 spliceosomal RNA
GUAUUCGCUUAGGCAGCACAUAUACUAAAAUUGGAACAUUACAAAGAAUAACAUGGUCACUGUGCAAAGAUGACAAGAAAAUUCUUGAAGUAUUCCAUAUUUUG